AACAUGAGACGUCCGCCCGACGUGCAGAUCAAGUCUAUAUUGCGUCGGUCGGUCGGGACCAUAUCUGUACGUCUACACGACGCGCAAAUCCGGUGCGGUAUCCGGACGUCUUUUUGCGACGUCUCUCGGACGUAGAUAUUAAGUUCAAUAUUUACGUCCAGAUUGGAGGUUUAUUGGACGUCAGUGGACGUGCAAGACUGGUACAGAAACUUGGCAGUAUAACGUUGUGACACACUCUACAUUAUAUUAUUAUAAGUAUACUAUGCAAUAUUAUUAUAAUAUCAUAGUAUAUUACAUAGCUAACAUUAUAUAAUAUUAAGCUGACGUCAUUGAUUUACAUUCAAUACUGCUGUCAUAUUCUCAUUUCAUGUAUAACUUGUACAUACAAGUUAACACUUGAUUCAAUCCACUAAAAAACUUUUUUUUAACCCCAAGUGCUGAGUUACACGUAUUGGGUCACUGUGUUGAAUUAUUUUCUAAUAUUGUUUUAUAGGUACAUUGGGUUAUUUCAGCUAACAGUAAAAUAUCAGCCUGCCAGAGUUUUUUGGGUGGCACAAAAUCAGCGGCUUAUAAUUAUUUAAAGAUUUUAAGUUAUAUGUUUUAAUCCUAUAUGUAUUUAUUUAUGUAAAUGCUGCAUGACUUUGGCGUGAUUUAAUGCGCGUGCGCGUUAAGCGGAGCUCGGAGUUGCCAUGGAAACGGGGAAACAACAACGGACAAGCAAGCAGCAAAAACUCCUCCGUCUCUCGCUGUUGUUUUCACUGCUUUCAGAAAUGGUUUAACAUUAGUGUCUUCGAAAAAAGUCCGUUAGCAUCUCAACCAUUUUCAGAGAAGGAGCGACAGAAAAAAACAUCUACAACAAAGGGUGAUUAAGCUCCACCCUUGCUGCUGACCUGAAGGAAACAGUUUUAAGAAGGCUGUGACAUCCAAAUGUAAGUGACACUGUAUGAGCAAUACUAAAUUCUUCCAUGCUGAUGCCAGCAGAGUUGAAUGGACCUCCUGUCAGAUAACAUCUCAAAGUUAUGAACAAUAUGGCUAAUGCAGUAAUGAAAUGGAGUCAAGAUGCAACUGAGAGGAGAUGAUAAUGCUGAGAUGAACAUGCUUCUGAGCACCUUCAUGCACAACAAGAAAGGAAGGAGUGGGACGCACACAAAAAUAUUUUUAAAAAGACUUCAUAAGAAUGUUAUGGAUUGUUGUUUGUUAUUUGUUAUUUAUGUUGUUUCUAAAUGUUAUGUACGAGCAAUUCCAGCAUUAUGGAUGAGACAUUUGCAGGCAUAACUUGAAAUAUAAAUAUUUAUAGAAUGUAUUCAUUACCAAUAUAUUGAAUCAUCUGUUUAUAUUUUUCUAAACCCCUGAAAAUAGAGUCUAGACAUCAGAAAAAUUUCAGCCUAUAACUGUGUUUUAUAUUUUAGAUGAGGGAAAUACACUUGCUUUGCGGACAUGACAAAAAACAGACAACAUAUUUUGUUUGACUUAAUGUGCAUUACAAUGCACAAACCUAAAGCAACAGUAUCUACCAAAUGGAGAAUGGUUGACUCUUCACAGAACAUAAAAUAUCUAUUUUAUUUUGAUUUGCGUUUUCGCAUUUAGUAAAGAUCAAUGUUACAGACGUGAUGGUUUUGAAAGCGGAAUUUAUCUGACUAUAAAAAUUUUCUAGUUGACUAUACAUUACAUUAAUAUAAUAAACCAUAAUGAGCCUUUGAUAUAUUUAGGCAUAAUUUAAUACGCGCUCAAGCGCAUGCAGAAAGCUUGCUGCAAAUCACCGACAAAAAUAGCCUAAUAAUUAUUGUGUCGGGGAAAUGUCAGGAAUAAAAUGCAAGUGAUCUCGCCGGUGCCUCCAUGUCAUGUAAGUGCAUUAAUACUUAGCAUAAAAACGUGCACAUUUAUCUAGGUCAACGUUAAAGUGUGCGAUCCAUAUUAAAAUAAAUCUUCAUAUCAGAGACAGACGCACUUGCAACCUAUAAGUUGUGGCUAUCGAAGUUUUAAAAUGAUCUAACUGACCGACACAUCUAUUUCGUUGUUGAUCAUAUGUGUUAUUGAUCAAGAUCAUGUAAACAUAUGCUGUCAUAAAAAAAAACAACUGAUCAUUAAUUUAUUUAUUAUAUAAUUAAGGUACAAAUAUUUAUCUAAAAAUGCAAUAUUGGAUAAAGAUGUAAUUUUGCUAAGUGUACCCCUCACAUGUGGUGGAUAAUAGCGAUUUCCUUCAAAUUUCUAUUAAAACACAGCUAAUGCUGUAAAAUACAGAACUAAAUGCACAAAAAAUGUUUCAGUAAGAUUGAUAUUUGCAUGGAAUUGCUCAUAAAAUAUGUUUUUUUAACCCACUAUUAUAUGUUUUUGUUAUUUCUGGGUAUACACACAAUCACAUAUGGACUUCACAUUGAAAUAAAUGUUUUGAUUGAA